AUCAAUGGGCGGGCCUGGACGGGGAGACCUUCGGGUCUGCCGGUUUCCGUGUGUGCCGGUUCGCCAACCCCGCUCAGUGCCCGCCCACCCCG
rnacentral:antisense_RNA from 1 species